rnacentral:tRNA from 3 species
GGCGCGUUCGUCUAACGGUUAGGACAUCAGAUUUUCAAUCUGAUAACAAGGGUUCGACUCCCUUACGCGCUA